GUAUAAUGGGUCAGCGACUUAUAUUCUGUAGCAAGGUUAACCGUAUAGGGGAGCCGAAGGGAAACCGAGUCUUAACUGGGCGUUAAGUUGCAGGGUAUAGACCCGAAACCCGGUGAUCUAGCCAUGGGCAGGUUGAAGGUUGGGUAACACUAACUGGAGGACCGAACCGACUAAUGUUGAAAAAUUAGCGGAUGACCUGUGGCUGGGGGUGAAAGGCCAAUCAAACCGGGAGAUAGCUGGUUCUCCCCGAAAGCUAUUUAGGUAGCGCCUCGUGAACUCAUCUUCGGGGGUAGAGCACUGUUUCGGCUAGGGGGCCAUCCCGGCUUACCAA
rnacentral:rRNA from 1 species